AGCCAUGUUAGCUCUGCAAUGGGAAGGGAUCCGAAGCCCCCUCGAGGGUUAAUACAGGCUCUCCCAUCCAACUCCUAUUCCGACACGUCCUCGUCGUGCAGAGUGGUAACAUGUGUCAUCACAUAUCCAAGCUUGGGUAC
rnacentral:ribozyme from 1 species